CAGUUGAACCCUUAAACAACAGCCUGUAGCAACUUGUAUCAAGAGUAACAAGAAGGAAAGAGUCUGGGCUUCCACUUUUCCCUACUGGGGAACAGCAUCUCCUGGAGGGGCCAAAGAAAAGGGCCGAUCAGACAGGUUUCACAUUUGUUGCAAGCAUGCUGAUUGAAAAAACCUACCCCAACAACAUAAUCUCAUGUAGAAAGUAUCAGUUCCCCAAUUCAGAGAGAAGUCUUCUACAGCAGCUUUGAACACUUCGAAGUGGAUUCCCCUCAGAAGCCACCUGAAAGGUCAGUGUUUACCUUAAAAUUCAAAUGAACUACAAAGAAAGGCAAGAGCAGAAGGCAAGUCAUUCCGUCUACUCCGACAGCUGUCUUUGGAUAGGUGAACCCCAUUUUGGCAAGCCACCUCUUCUCUGAUCAGAGAGGCGGCCAACAUGGCUAGCUUAGAUUAGAUGCUGGACUCCUGAAAAGCUAAAUUUAUGUAAUAGGAAUCCCAACCUUAAUAUUUUAAUCUUAAGACAAACUGAGUGGCUAUGGGUCCACCAACACAGGCUAUUGUCCCUUUUCCAAAAAAAACAAGCACUUUAUGCCAGAUAAAUUUUAGAAGUGGUUGCCUCUCAGCUGAGAUGUGGCACUGUAGUAUUCCUGCUGCCAGAGCAUUCCUGCUCUGCUGAUACACAGAAAAAUACCUCCUCAGCUGCACGCUGAGCAGUGAGAAGCCUCAGGCUGAGAACAACAGAAUGCUCAAGUGAUUUUGGCUAGUACAUCUGAAUAAAACAACCUUCGUAAUAUUAGAACAAGAAAACACUUUAGUGCUCUUAGAACAAACCACUUUACGCACAGUAGCAAAGUGAUCCUCGCUAGAAUGCAGUGGUAUCUCAACAAGGGAUCCAUGCAUAACCUUUCCAGCAUUAAUCACUGGAAACACCCACGCCACCAAUGUGCAUUUACCUGUACAUUAUGGAAAUACUGGUCUCAUCUAUACAUACAAAGUUAGGGGAAAGGCAACGGCACAGAGGCCUGGGUAGCUUGUGCAUGCUGUAUAGUGAAAGCUGGCAGUGUCUCCUUUUACAGCAGCUAAAAUACUCUGCUCAAAAAUAAAGACAAUAAAAAACAGUUGAAAGCCACUUCUGGUACCAGUGUAUUUACUGGUUCUCACUUUGAGACCCAAAAGUGCUUCUGCCUUUUAAAAAUCUAAGUAUACACAAAGCAGAAAAUGUAAUUAGUUAAUUCUGUAAUGAGACCCAGACACAGGAAUCCAUGAGGAUUUUCUCCUCCAUGUUCAACUCCACGUUUCACACCCAGAGAAGCUACACACUGGCUUUGGCUCCCAGCACCAUCCCUGAAUGCCUUCCGGCUUGGAGAGGAGAAAGCCUUCUCUGGUUACCUUC